GAUGAACGCUAGCGGCAGGCCUAACACAUGCAAGUCGAGGGAGGAGCUUUCGGGCUUCGUCCGGCGUACGGGUGCGUAACGCGUAUACAAUCUGCCUUUCACAUAGGGAUAGCCCGAAGCAAUUUGGAUUAAUACCUAAUGGUAUAUAGGAGUGGCAUCACCUUUAUAUUAAAGCUGAGGCGGUGAAAGAUGAGUAUGCGUUCUAUUAGCUAGUUGGAGAGGUAACGGCUCCCCAAGGCGACGAUAGAUAGGGGUUCUGAGAGGGAUAUCCCCCACACUGGUACUGAGAUACGGACCAGACUCCUACGGGAGGCAGCAGUGAGGAAUAUUGGACAAUGGUCGGAAGACUGAGCCAGCCAUGCCGCGUGCAGGAAGACGGCCUUAUGGGUUGUAGACUGCUUUUGCAGGGGAAGAAUAAGGAGUACGUGUACUUUGAUGACGGUACUCUGCGAAUAAGCAUCGGCUAACUCCGUG
rnacentral:rRNA from 1 species